GACGAACGCUGGCGGCGUGCUUAACACAUGCAAGUCGAGCGGAAAGGCCACUUCGGUGGUACUCGAGCGGCGAACGGGUGAGUAACACGUGAGUAAUCUGCCCCUGGCUUUGGGAUAGCCACCGGAAACGGUGAUUAAUACCGGAUACGACCACUUCUCGCAUGGGAUGGUGGUGGAAAGUUUUUUCGGCCAGGGAUGUGCUCGCGGCCUAUCAGCUUGAUGGUGAGGUAAUGGCUCACCAUGGCUUCGACGGGUAGCCGGCCUGCGAGGGUGACCGGUCACACUGGGACUGAGACCCGGCCCAGACUCCUACGGGGGGCAGCAGUGGGGAAUAGUGGACAAUGGGCGGAGGCCUGAUCCAGCAACGCCGCGUGAGGGAUGACGGCCUUCGGGUUGUAAACCUCUUUCAGCAGGGACGAAGCGCGAGUGACGGUACCUGCAGAAGAAGCACCGGCCAACUACGUGCCAGCAGCCGCGGUAA
rnacentral:rRNA from 1 species